rnacentral:rRNA from 1 species
UACGUAGGGCGCAAGCGUUGUCCGGAAUUAUUGGGCGUAAAGAGCUCGUAGGCGGUUUGUCGCGUCUGCCGUGAAAACCCGAGGCUUAACCUCGUGGCUUGCGGUGGAUACGGGCAGACUAGAGGUAGGUAGGGGAGAAUGGAAUUCCCGGUGUAGCGGUGAAAUGCGCAGAUAUCAGGAAGAACACCCGUGGCGAAGGCGGCUCUCUGGGACGGUACUGACGCUGAGACGCGAAAGCGUGGGGAGCGAACAGG